AAGGAUUUAAGUUAAAAAAACUAUUAACCUUCAAAGUUAAAAUUACUUUGAGUAAGCCUUA
rnacentral:tRNA from 1 species